UGUGUGUUAGUGGAAGCGUCUGGAAAGGCGUGCGAUACAGGGUGACAGCCCCGUACACAAAAAUGCACAUGCUGUGAGCUCGAUGAGUAGGGCGGGACACGUGGUAUCCUGUCUGAAUAUGGGGGGACCAUCCUCCAAGGCUAAAUACUCCUGACUGACCGAUAGUGAACCAGUACCGUGAGGGAAAGGCGAAAAGAACCCCGGCGAGGGGAGUGAAAAAGAACCUGAAACCGUGUACGUACAAGCAGUGGGAGCCUCUUUAAUGGGGUGACUGCGUACCUUUUGUAUAAUGGGUCAGCGACUUAUAUUCUGUAGCAAGGUUAACCGAAUAGGGGAGCCGAAGGGAAACCGAGUCUUAACUGGGCGUUAAGUUGCAGGGUAUAGACCCGAAACCCGGUGAUCUAGCCAUGGGCAGGUUGAAGGUUGGGUAACACUAACUGGAGGACCGAACCGACUAAUGUUGAAAAAUUAGCGGAUGACUUGUGGCUGGGGGUGAAAGGCCAAUCAAACCGGGAGAUAGCUGGUUCUCCCCGAAAGCUAUUUAGGUAGCGCCUCGUGAAUUCAUCUCCGGGGGUAGAGCACUGUUUCGGCAAGGGGGUCAUCCCGACUUACCAACCCGAUGCAAACUGCGAAUACCGGAGAAUGUUAUCACGGGAGACACACGGCGGGUGCUAACGUCCGUCGUGAAGAGGGAAACAACCCAGACCGCCAGCUAAGGUCCCAAAGUCAUGGUUAAGUGGGAAACGAUGUGGGAAGGCCCAGACAGCCAGGAUGUUGGCUUAGAAGCAGCCAUCAUUUAAAGAAAGCGUAAUAGCUCACUGGUCGAGUCGGCCUGCGCGGAAGAUGUAACGGGGCUAAACCAUGCACCGAAGCUGCGGCAGCGACACUAUGUGUUGUUGGGUAGGGGAGCGUUCUGUAAGCCGUUGAAGGUGGCCUGUGAGGGUUGCUGGAGGUAUCAGAAGUGCGAAUGCUGACAUAAGUAACGAUAAAGCGGGUGAAAAGCCCGCUCGCCGGAAGACCAAGGGUUCCUGUCCAACGUUAAUCGGGGCAGGGUGAGUCGACCCCUAAGGCGAGGCCGAAAGGCGUAGUCGAUGGGAAACAGGUUAAUAUUCCUGUACUUGGUGUUACUGCGAAGGGGGGACGGAGAAGGCUAUGUUGGCCGGGCGACGGUUGUCCCGGUUUAAGCGUGUAGGCUGAUUUUCCAGGCAAAUCCGGAGAAUCAAGGCUGAGGCGUGAUGACGAGGCACUACGGUGCUGAAGCAACAAAUGCCCUGCUUCCAGGAAAAGCCUCUAAGCAUCAGGUAACAUCAAAUCGUACCCCAAACCGACACAGGUGGUCAGGUAGAGAAUACCAAGGCGCUUGAGAGAACUCGGGUGAAGGAACUAGGCAAAAUGGUGCCGUAACUUCGGGAGAAGGCACGCUGAUGGUAGGUGAAGCGACUUGCUCGUGGAGCUGAAAUCAGUCGAAGAUACCAGCUGGCUGCAACUGUUUAUUAAAAACACAGCACUGUGCAAACACGAAAGUGGACGUAUACGGUGUGACGCCUGCCCGGUGCCGGAAGGUUAAUUGAUGGGGUCAGCCGCAAGGCGAAGCUCUUGAUCGAAGCCCCGGUAAACGGCGGCCGUAACUAUAACGGUCCUAAGGUAGCGAAAUUCCUUGUCGGGUAAGUUCCGACCUGCACGAAUGGCGUAAUGAUGGCCAGGCUGUCUCCACCCGAGACUCAGUGAAAUUGAACUCGCUGUGAAGAUGCAGUGUACCCGCGGCAAGACGGAAAGACCCCGUGAACCUUUACUAUAGCUUGACACUGAACAUUGAGCCUUGAUGUGUAGGAUAGGUGGGAGGCUUUGAAGUGUGGACGCCAGUCUGCAUGGAGCCGACCUUGAAAUACCACCCUUUAAUGUUUGAUGUUCUAACGUGGACCCGUGAUCCGGGUUGCGGACAGUGUCUGGUGGGUAGUUUGACUGGGGCGGUCUCCUCCUAAAGAGUAACGGAGGAGCACGAAGGUUGGCUAAUCCUGGUCGGACAUCAGGAGGUUAGUGCAAUGGCAUAAGCCAGCUUGACUGCGAGCGUGACGGCGCGAGCAGGUGCGAAAGCAGGUCAUAGUGAUCCGGUGGUUCUGAAUGGAAGGGCCAUCGCUCAACGGAUAAAAGGUACUCCGGGGAUAACAGGCUGAUACCGCCCAAGAGUUCAUAUCGACGGCGGUGUUUGGCACCUCGAUGUCGGCUCAUCACAUCCUGGGGCUGAAGUAGGUCCCAAGGGUAUGGCUGUUCGCCAUUUAAAGUGGUACGCGAGCUGGGUUUAGAACGUCGUGAGACAGUUCGGUCCCUAUCUGCCGUGGGCGCUGGAGAACUGAGGGGGGCUGCUCCUAGUACGAGAGGACCGGAGUGGACGCAUCACUGGUGUUCGGGUUGUCAUGCCAAUGGCACUGCCCGGUAGCUAAAUGCGGAAGAGAUAAGUGCUGAAAGCAUCUAAGCACGAAACUUGCCCCGAGAUGAGUUCUCCCUGAGACUUUAAGUCUCCUGAAGGAACGUUGAAGACGACGACGUUGAUAGGCCGGGUGUGUAAGCGCAGCGAUGCGUUGAGCUAACCGGUACUAAUGAACCGUGAGGCUUAACCUU
rnacentral:rRNA from 1 species